CCUACGGGGGGCAGCAGUGGGGAAUAUUGGACAAUGGGGGGAACCCUGAUCCAGCCAUGCCGCGUGUGUGAAGAAGGCCCUCGGGUUGUAAAGCACUUUCAGUGAGGAAGAACGCCUGGUGGUUAAUACCCAUCAGUAAAGACAUCACUCACAGAAGAAGCACCGGCUAACUCCGUGCCAGCAGCCGCGGUAAUACGGAGGGUGCGAGCGUUAAUCGGAAUUACUGGGCGUAAAGCGCGCGUAGGUGGCUUGAUAAGCCGGUUGUGAAAGCCCCGGGCUCAACCUGGGAACGGCAUCCGGAACUGUCAAGCUAGAGUGCAGGAGAGGAAGGUAGAAUUCCCGGUGUAGCGGUGAAAUGCGUAGAGAUCGGGAGGAAUACCAGUGGCGAAGGCGGCCUUCUGGACUGAAACUGACACUGAGGUGCGAAAGCGUGGGUAGCAAACAGGAUUAGAUACCCUAGUAGUC
rnacentral:rRNA from 1 species